UUAUGAUAAUUGUCGCUUUCUUUGUAGGGGACUCAUUUCCAAGUGGACAGUACCCAGCCAGUCACUUUACCGGCGCCCCUCAACGAGAUCAAUGUUCAUGUGCGAGAAGGUCGCAUCGUCCCUUUGCAGUUACCCUCGGGGGGCAAUCCCACCACCACGACCCAGUAUCGCCAGCUUGCCUUCACUCUGCUGAUCACUCGUAGUGACAGGAGCCCUGGUACCGGUCAACUCUUCUGGGAUGACGGAGACUCUCUUGACACAUACGAGAGUGGCAACUAUCUCUUUGUGGAGUUUGCAUCGAAUGCAACAACGAUGAAUUCCACCGUGGUGCAUGAUGGGUAUUCAGGAUCACAGCCCGUCACUGUAGAGACAAUCAUCCUUGGGACGGUUCCUCGCCCGGUCAGUCAAGUGACAAUCAACGGCACUGCUGUUCCGUUUGACUAUGAGAAACAACUAAUGAAUGUUUACAUCUGUAACUUGAAAGUGCCCAUGCAAUUCAACUUCUAUGUCAAGUGGGAAUACCAAACACAGGAGUAAUGGAAGUCUGGAACAAACGCGACAAUGGAUUGGUUACUUUCAAUUUACCUGGGUGAUUUAUGUUCGAGUUCUAAUUAUGGAGCAGACGAAAAAUUCUUGAAGGGCAGAUGCAACGAAUUCUUCUAAGUUACACAUUUUAUGCCGCUUUCAAAUCCUCUCAAGUGUAUGGAGAUAAUUUGACAUUACUUUUUCUACUUUACGGCAGUAAGACAUCCAAUUUUAUGCAAUCAAUUUGUCUUGAGUUACACCAGUUUUGCACAGCUUUCAAAUCCUCUCAAGUGCAUGGAGAUAAUUUGACAUUGAUUGUUUUUUAAAAUUCUGUUGAAAAUGCCCUUCUUUGAACUUUUAUACUUUAAUCUAAAGACAGAUGAAGGCAUUCAUGGCAGCUGAGUUGUCUUUCUGGGAAGGGUGUAGUUUGGUUGAGGGAUUUUCUGCUAUUGUGAAACCAUAAUUGCUUAUUGGAAACAUUUGUGAGAAAGAAUAGCUCAUUGGCUUUCUGCUGUGUACAAGUCUGUUUAAAUUUUCCAAAAAAAGAGAAAAAUAUCAACAUUUCCAGGACCUUUUUGGUUCUGAAAUAGCUGUGACAUUGAGGUUUCUGACCCGACCACCACACUUUCGCUCAUGAAUGGGUAAAUUCACAUUAGAAAAAAAAAGUACAGAGGUGCCCUCAAAGUUUCCACAACAGAUAUUGAAAGCAACGGUGCAUUUCCAAGGACUAUGUUUUUUUUAUAAAUUACAUGACACAGGCCUUGUAAAAAGGGUGAAGAUUUUGGAGAACUGAUGAAGGAGACAAAUUGUAAAUUGUUUAACAAAACGCUGAAAUGUCACAGUGGGUAGCAAACUGAAAUGAUUACUGUGCGGUAUUUACUCAUCUUCACUGAAUACUUAACUGCAAUCAUGAUGUACCGUUAAGUAUUGUAUGUGGAUGGAAGAUGGAAAAGUCCUUGUAUGCAAAUUUAGUUGAAUUAUUAAAUUCUAUUGUAAGUUUUGAGGA